rnacentral:rRNA from 1 species
UACGUAGGGAGCAAGCGUUUGUCCGGAAUUACUGGGCGUAAAGAGCUCGUAGGUGGUUUGUCGCGUUGUCCGUGAAAACUCACAACUCAAUUGUGGGCGUGCGGGCGAUACGGGCAGACUGGAGUACUGCAGGGGAGACUGGAAUUCCUGGUGUAGCGGUGGAAUGCGCAGAUAUCAGGAGGAACACCGGUGGCGAAGGCGGGUCUCUGGGCCGAUGACUGACGCUGAGGAGCGAAAGCGUGGGGAGCGAACAGG